rnacentral:rRNA from 1 species
AUCAACUUUCGAUUGGUAGGAUAGAGGCCUACCAUGGUGGUAACGGGUAACGGGGUGUUAGGGCACGACACCGGAGAGGGAGCCUGAGAAACGGCUACCACAUCCAAGGAUGGCAGCGGGCGCGCAAAUUACCCAAUCCCGACACGGGGAGGUAGUGACAAUAAAUAACAAUACGGGGUUCUUUCGGAUUUCGUAAUUGGAAUGAGUACAAUUUAAAUCUCUUAACGAGGAACAAUUGGAGGGCAAGUCUGGUGCCAGCAGCCGCGGUAAUUCCAGCUCCAAUAGCGUAUAUUAAAGUUGCUGCAGUUAAAAAGCUCGUAGUUGAAUUUCGGGACCAUCAUGUCGGUCGUGCCUCGGUACGUACUGGCAUUGUUGGUUUCUCCCUUCUGACGAACCAUGAUGUCAUUUAUUUGGUGUUGUGGGGAAUCAGGACUGUUACUUUGAAAAAAUUAGAGUGUUUAAAGCAGGCUCACGCUUGAAUACAUUAGCAUGGAAUAAUGAAAUAGGACGUUUGAUUCUAUUUUGUUGGUUUCUAGGAUCGACGUAAUGAUUAAUAGGGAUAGUUGGGGGCAUUAGUAUUCAAUUGUCAGAGGUGAAAUUCUUGGAUUUAUUGAAGACUAACUACUGCGAAAGCAUUUGCCAAGGAUGUUUUCAUUAAUCAAGAACGAAAGUUAGGGGAUCGAAGACGAUCAGAUACCGUCGUAGUCUUAACCAUAAACUAUGCCGACUAGGGAUCGGAUGAUGUUAAUUUUUUAAUGACUCAUUCGGCGCCCUACGGGAAACCAAAGUG